rnacentral:ncRNA from 1 species
GUUUCGGGGCAGGGUGAAAUUCCCUACCGGCGGUGAAAGCCCGCGAGCGGCGGAAAUAAGCGCGAUACAAAAGCGCGAACCGACGCAGAUCCGGUGAGAUUCCGGAGCCGACGGUACAGUCCGGAGGAGAGAAA